UAGUAAUAGUAUUGUAAUCAAAUUAAGUCUAUUUAAUUUUUCAUUGUAAUACUAUUCAAUGAAAUUCUUACAAGGUUAUAAAAAGUCAGCUACUUAAAAAGCAUGUGUAUACAUAAUAAGUCUAACUAUCUUAUUGACUAUAAAAAAUCAUAGGCAUGUAACAUGAAAGAUCUAAACCAUACGUACGUAAUACUAGCUAGAAUUGUCUUGUUUCUUCGUUAGUAGAAUUUUGUCAUAAAUCCAAAAAUACUCAUCAAACCAGCUUUUGGGCCUCCUCGAACCAACCCUUGCCUAGAUAUAUAUCCUUAAAAUUGAAAAGAUAGAUUUAGUACAUUUUAUAAAGAUUAGGAAAGAAGCCGAUGUUUAAUUAAUUACUCCUUUGCUGCUUUUUCUUAUUCCCUUGCCUAGCUAUAUAUAUAAUAUUAAAAAUACUACUACAUAUUACUACAAGACAAGAAAUAAACGUAUAGUAGGAUCAUGUGUUUUAGAUUCCAAAUAAGAAACCGUUGAAUUAUAUGAAACUAGCUAGUGUCAUUACAUUCCAAAACCUAAACCGUUAGGAUAUAUAUUAUACACAUGUAUCACUAUGACACUAUGUACGUAUUUACGUAUAGUUUUUUUUUUUGUUUUAAUAUAUAUAUAUAUAUAUAUAUAUGAAUAUAUAGAAAAAAAGGGUACGUACUACUCGCCGAUCACUAUCAAUAAUACGUACAUAGAAAUGGGAGACGUCGCGGAGGUGUCGUCAGAGGUGGUGGUGCGAAACAAGCAUCCAACAUGGCCGUUAAUUGGGAAGAAUAUAGCUAGCUUUAGUAAAAAUUCAUGUUCCUAUACUGGAAUCCUAGGCAAUUAAUUAGCAUGACUGGAAUAUUGACGGCCUAUGUUGGUUUCUAUGAUAUUUGUACGUUCACCAAAGAAAGGAGACUCAGACACCGUGUUCGUGUCUGCGCAGCAUCUGGAGCCAUUGGUCAACUUGUAUGGCAAUUCGCGAAACUACAAGCUAGGUUGUUAUGUUGUCGGAAGUGCUGGCCGGAUCUAAUGAAGUACGUACUACGCAACAACAUGAGAUCGAGUACAUGCAUGGUCGCAUAAUUGCUGCUUGUGGAAUGAUCUCACAAUACAACCUAGAUAAACCCCAAGGCAUUGACAACCUCCACCUCGUAUUCUUAAUAUUGAAACGCGUACGAAUGGAAGGGUUCCUGCAGGUUUCAGAUAAUUAAUUAUCACUCGUACCCUAAGUAAUUUAUUGCCUCCCAUUAAAAAAGGAAAAAUAAAUUAUGUCGAUCGAGGACAUUGUUGAAGGGCUCAAGAAUGCUCCGAGUGCCUUAGUAGGUUUGUUUACGGGCAAAAUUGGACAGAUUUGGAUGAAAAAACUUGCAUCCAUGUAUAAAAGUACCAAUUUAUCCCUAUGUGUUUAUUGUUGCUAUUGCGGUUGAUAAUAUGAGCUAAGAAACAACAAACAAAUAAAGUGCUGCAACUGUUGUGGUUGUUUAUGGCAACACCAGUAUACCAGUAAUGAGUAUUGUAGAGAUGGUAGGGAUAUGGUUUUUGUGUUUGUAAUUAAAAGGCGAACAAAAAGCAGAUAAGACGGUGUAAGUUAUCAAAGAUGAAUUAUGAAGGGUUGAUGGGGGUCUUUUUGUGCAGACUUAUGAAGAGAUGAUGGGGUUCUUUUUGUACAGAUUUAUAUUUUACCGGUGCAUCUAUCUAUGUAAAUAUAUUAUAUCUACUUAUUUGAAAACAAUAAUUGUUUGAUUUUUAUUAA